rnacentral:rRNA from 1 species
UACGUAGGGUCCGAGCGUUGUCCGGAAUUACUGGGCGUAAAGAGCUCGUAGGUGGUUUGUCGCGUUGUUCGUGAAAACUCACAGCUCAACUGUGGGCGUGCGGGCGAUACGGGGCAGACUAGAGUACUGCAGGGGAGACUGGAAUUCCUGGUGUAGCGGUGAAAUGCGCAGAUAUCAGGAGGAACACCGGUGGCGAAGGCGGAUCUCUGGGCCAUUACUGACGCUGAGGAGCGAAAGCGUGGGGAGCGAACAGG